rnacentral:ribozyme from 21 species
AACAAAAAAUCAAAAAAAGAGAAAAUAGAAGCUUCAGCUAAACCUGGUUCUGACAGAUUCUAUUUUCUUUUUUUCCUGUU